rnacentral:rRNA from 1 species
UACGGGGGAGCAAGCGUUGUUCGGAUUUACUGGGCGUAAAGGGCGCGUAGGCGGUCAGCACAAGUCAAUUGUGAAAUCUCCGAGCUUAACUCGGAAAGGUCAACUGAUACUGUGCGACUAGAGUGCGGAAGGGGCAACUGGAAUUCUUGGUGUAGCGGUGAAAUGCGUAGAUAUCAAGAGGAACACCUGCGGCGAAGGCGGGUUGCUGGGCCGACACUGACGCUGAGGCGCGAAAGCUAGGGGAGCGAACGGG